GCCGGGUGUGGUGGCACACACCUGUAAUCCCAGCUACUUGGAAGGCCAAGGCAGGAGAAUUGCUUGAACCUGGGAGGUGGAGGUUGUGGUGAGCCAAGAUUGCACCAUUGCACUCCAGCCUGGGUAACAAGAGCAAGACUGUCUCCAAGGAAAAAAAAAAAAAAAAGUAAAUAAGAUGGAGUCUCACUCUGUUGCCCAGACUGGAGUGCAGUGGUGCAAUCUCGGCUCACUGUAACCUCCACCUCCCAAGUUCAAGCGAUUCUCCUGCCUC
rnacentral:SRP_RNA from 13 species